GAUGAACGCUGGCGGCGUGCCUAAUACAUGCAAGUCGAGCGAACGGACGAGAAGCUUGCUUCUCUGAUGUUAGCGGCGGACGGGUGAGUAACACGUGGAUAACCUACCUAUAAGACUGGGAUAACUUCGGGAAACCGGAGCUAAUACCGGAUAAUAUUUUGAACCGCAUGGUUCAAAAGUGAAAGACGGUCUUGCUGUCACUUAUAGAUGGAUCCGCGCUGCAUUAGCUAGUUGGUAAGGUAACGGCUUACCAAGGCAACGAUGCAUAGCCGACCUGAGAGGGUGAUCGGCCACACUGGAACUGAGACACGGUCCAGACUCCUACGGGAGGCAGCAGUAGGGAAUCUUCCGCAAUGGGCGAAAGCCUGACGGAGCAACGCCGCGUGAGUGAUGAAGGUCUUCGGAUCGUAAAACUCUGUUAUUAGGGAAGAACAUAUGUGUAAGUAACUGUGCACAUCUUGACGGUACCUAAUCAGAAAGCCACGGCUAACUACGUGCCAGCAGCCGCGGUAAUACGUAGGUGGCAAGCGUUAUCCGGAAUUAUUGGGCGUAAAGCGCGCGUAGGCGGUUUUUUAAGUCUGAUGUGAAAGCCCACGGCGUCAACCGUGGAGGGUCAUUGGAAACUGGAAAACUUGAGUGCAGAAGAGGAAAGUGGAAUUCCAUGUGUAGCGGUGAAAUGCGCAGAGAUAUGGAGGAACACCAGUGGCGAAGGCGACUUUCUGGUCUGUAACUGACGCUGAUGUGCGAAAGCGUGGGGAUCAAACAGGAUUAGAUACCCUGGUAGUCCACGCCGUAAACGAUGAGUGCUAAGUGUUAGGGGGUUUCCGCCCCUUAGUGCUGCAGCUAACGCAUUAAGCACUCCGCCUGGGGAGUACGACCGCAAGGUUGAAACUCAAAGGAAUUGACGGGGACCCGCACAAGCGGUGGAGCAUGUGGUUUAAUUCGAAGCAACGCGAAGAACCUUACCAAAUCUUGACAUCCUUUGACAACUCUAGAGAUAGAGCCUUCCCCUUCGGGGGACAAAGUGACAGGUGGUGCAUGGUUGUCGUCAGCUCGUGUCGUGAGAUGUUGGGUUAAGUCCCGCAACGAGCGCAACCCUUAAGCUUAGUUGCCAUCAUUAAGUUGGGCACUCUAAGUUGACUGCCGGUGACAAACCGGAGGAAGGUGGGGAUGACGUCAAAUCACCAUGCCCCUUAUGAUUUGGGCUACACACGUGCUACAAUGGACAAUACAAAGGGCAGCGAAACCGCGAGGUCAAGCAAAUCCCAUAAAGUUGUUCUCAGUUCGGAUUGUAGUCUGCAACUCGACUACAUGAAGCUGGAAUCGCUAGUAAUCGUAGAUCAGCAUGCUACGGUGAAUACGUUCCCGGGUCU
rnacentral:rRNA from 1 species